rnacentral:rRNA from 1 species
CUGGAUUAGUGGCGAACGGGUGAGUAACACGUGAGCAAUCUGCCCCUGACUCUGGGAUAACUUCGAGAAAUCGAAGCUAAUACCGGAUACGACCCUUCCAGGCAUCUGGUGAGGGUGGAAAGAACUUCGGUCAGGGAUGAGCUCGCGGCCUAUCAGCUAGUUGGUGAGGUAAUGGCUCACCAAGGCGACGACGGGUAGCCGGCCUGAGAGGGUGACCGGCCACACUGGGACUGAGACACGGCCCAGACUCCUACGGGAGGCAGCAGUGGGGAAUAUUGCACAAUGGGCGCAAGCCUGAUGCAGCAACGCCGCGUGAGGGACGAAGGCCUUCGGGUUGUAAACCUCUUUUAGCAGGGAAGAAGCGAAAGUGACGGUACCUGCAGAAAAAGCGCCGGCUAACUACGUGCCAGCAGCCGCGGUAAUACGUAGGGCGCAAGCGUUGUCCGGAAUUAUUGGGCGUAAAGAGCUCGUAGGCGGUUUGUCGCGUCUGCUGUGAAAAUCCGAGGCUCAACCUCGGACCUGCAGUGGGUACGGGCAAACUAGAGUGCGGUAGGGGAGAUUGGAAUUCCUGGUGUGGCGGUGGAAUGCGCAGAUAUCAGGAGGAACACCAAUGGCGAAGGCAGAUCUCUGGGCCGUAACUGACGCUGAGGAGCGAAAGCGUGGGGAGCGAACAGGAUUAGAUACCCUGGUAGUCCACGCCGUAAACGGUGGGAACUAGAUGUGGGGUCCGUUCCACGGAUUCCGUGUCGCAGCUAACGCAUUAAGUUCCC